UGGGGGAUAUUGCACAAUGGGCGAAAGCCUGAUGCAGCGACGCCGCGUGGGGGAUGAAGGCUUUCGGGUUGUAAACCUCUUUCGCUAUCGAACAAGGCCCGCUUAGGGUGGGUUGAGGGUAGGUGGAGAAGAAGCGCCGGCUAACUACGUGCCAGCAGCCGCGGUAAUACGUAGGGCGCGAGCGUUGUCCGGAAUUAUUGGGCGUAAAGGGCUUGUAGGCGGCUUGGUGCGCCUGCUGUGAAAACGCGGGGCUUAACUUCGCGCGUGCAGUGGGUACGGGCAGGCUUGGGUGUGGUAGGGGUGACUGGAAUUCCAGGUGUAGCGGUGGAAUGCGCAGAUAUCUGGAGGAACACCGAUGGCGAAGGCAGGUCACUGGGCCAUUACUGACGCUGAGGAGCGAAAGCAUGGGUAGCGAACAGG
rnacentral:rRNA from 1 species